UGGGGAAUAUUGGACAAUGGGCGAUAGCCUGAUCCAGCCAUGCCGCGUGUGUGAAGAAGGUCUUCGGAUUGUAAAGCACUUUAAGUUGGGAGGAAGGGCAGUAAGCGAAUACCUUGCUGUUUUGACGUUACCGACAGAAUAAGCACCGGCUAACUCUGUGCCAGCAGCCGCGGUAAUACAGAGGGUGCAAGCGUUAAUCGGAAUUACUGGGCGUAAAGCGCGCGUAGGUGGUUCGUUAAGUUGAAUGUGAAAGCCCCGGGCUCAACCUGGGAACUGCAUCCAAAACUGGCGAGCUAGAGUAGGGCAGAGGGUGGUGGAAUUUCCUGUGUAGCGGUGAAAUGCGUAGAUAUAGGAAGGAACACCAGUGGCGAAGGCGACCACCUGGGCUCAUACUGACACUGAGGUGCGAAAGCGUGGGGAGCAAACAGG
rnacentral:rRNA from 1 species